rnacentral:lncRNA from 1 species
GAUGAUUCUAUUAACUGAAAAGUAUAUCGACGGAAAGUGGCCAGCAAGAAGAAAGAACCAUCCACAACAGAGGAGGGGUGAUGAACUGAAGCCCCAAAGAGAUCCAAAACUUCCUGUUGAAACCUUUUGCAGGGGAGAAAUCCAGAUAGUUGACAAGAUCCAUUGGGAUGUCCAUCGACCUCGGAAGGAGGGGAGGGGAAGAUGGCGAACCUGUUUAGGGGCUGGGAGAACCGAAGAGGGGCGUCAUCGAUGAGAUCAGAGCCGGAGAUGGAGUGGAGCGCCACCGCCACAGUCGCUAGGGAGAGGGAGCGGGGGCGUCAUGACCCAAGCGUUGCGAAAGCUUUUGGGUUAUUGAGUUUUGUGUCACUUACUUCCCCAUAAGUCAUUUUGUUGCAAUACCCACCCACUUAUUUGAUUUUAUUGCAAAUACCCACCCAUUGUGCACAAACU